rnacentral:snoRNA from 1 species
UGGAUCAAUGAUGUCAACUAGUGGCAGAUGAGUCUCAUAUGUGUCUAGAACUCCGAGGUCCAA